rnacentral:lncRNA from 1 species
UCGGAAAGAAUACAGUUUGUAUUAUUCAACACUGGAUUCACAAAGUUAUGUCAAGAUACAUCAAACAUUCUAUGAAUCUAAAAAGCAAACAUUUUCUUAUAAUAAGAACCGGAGGGAGUAAUAUCCGCACAUUUUAUUAACGGGAACACUAAGAGAAAACAAAACAGAACUGUAUGUAUGACGACAUUAUUACAUGUAACUAGCGAUGUAACAUUAUGCAGCAUUCACAGAAAUGGUGAAGUGGUCAAGACCAUCAACAAGCUCACCCUUAAUAAUCU